rnacentral:rRNA from 1 species
GCGUUCUUUUGUAAAACCGAUCGUGAUGGGGAUAGAACAUUGCAAUUAUUGUUCUUCAACGAGGAAUGCCUAGUAAGCGUGAGUCAUCAUCUCGCGUUGAUUACGUCCCUGCCCUUUGUACACACCGCCCGUCGCUCCUACCGAUUGAAUGUGCUGGUGAAGACUUCGGAUUGGCUGUUUGGUUAGGUUUCCUGACCUUACCGCUGAGAAGUUGUUUAAACCCUCCCAUUUAGAGGAAGGAGAAGUCGUAACAAGGUUUCCGUAGGUGAACCUGCGGAAGGAUCAUUGAAUUCCAUCCACAUCCACUCGCGAACUAUCCCUGUACCCCUCUUGCUGUCCUCACGGACGGCCUGAGCGGCUGGCUCUCGGGCCAGUCGGGCUCCUCGUCCUAGGACGCGGAGUCGGCAAACCAACAACACACCCAACAAAAUGUCUGUCUGAAGCUAACUCAACUCGGCAACGCCGGUUGACUAACAAUGACAACUCUCAACAACGGAUAUCUUGGCUCUCGCAACGAUGAAGAACGCAGCGAAAUGCGAUACGUAAUGUGAAUUGCAGAAUUCCGUGAAUCAUCGAAUCUUUGAACGCAUAUUGCGGUCGAGGCUUCGGCCGAGACCAUGCCUGCCUCAGCGUCGUAAUAGUGCAACUCCUCACCCCCCUGCCCUUGUGGUGGACGGGAGUGGACCUGGUCUCCUCAUCGCCUGGCGAUGGGCUGGCUGAAACUCGGAGAUUCACGCUCGGGCCUGUACGGCAACAGCAAGGUAGGUGGCUCGUUCACUCCGGCUGAUGCUUAGGGCACGCGCACGGAUCCUUCAGAAAAACUUUUACACUGACCUGAGAUCAGACAAGGCUACCCGCUGAACUUAAGCAUUAAAAAAAUAAACAACA